AAAAAGUUCUUGUUUUCUUACAAGUCAACUCAUGCAUGCUGAAAUGUAGUGGCAAAUAGUUCAUGUAUUUGGUGGUAGAAAUGGUAAAUACCUCAUGUAUUUAGAGGUAGAAAUGGUAAAUACUUCAUGUAUUUAGUGGUAGAAAUGGUAAAUACUUCAUGUAUUUAGUGGUAGAAAUGGUAAAUACUUCAUGUAUUUAGAGGUAGAAAUGGUAAAUACUUCAUGUAUUUAGUGGUAGAAAUGGUAAAUACUUCAUGUAUUUAGAGGUAGAAAUGGUAAAUACUUCAUGUAUUUAGUGGUAGAAAUGGUAAAUACUUCAUGUAUUUAGAGGUAGAAAUGGUAAAUACUUCAUGUAUUUAGUGGUAGAAAUGGUAAAUACUUCGUGUAUUUAGAGGUAGAAAUGGUAAAUACUUCGUGUAUUUAGUGGUAGAAAUGGUAAAUACUUCGUGUAUUUAG